rnacentral:rRNA from 1 species
GACGGAGGAUGCAAGCGUUAUCCGGAAUGCUUGGGCGUAAAGCGUCCGCAGGUGGCAGUUCAAGUCUGCUGUCAAAGACCGGGGCUUAACUUCGGAAAGGCAGUGGAAACUGAACAGCUAGAGUAUGGUAGGGGCAGAGGGAAUUCCUGGUGUAGCGGUGAAAUGCGUAGAGAUCGGGAAGAACAUCGGUGGCGAAGGCGCUCUGCUGGACCAUAACUGACACUCAGGGACGAAAGCUAGGGGAGCGAAUGGG